UGACCCAGUUCUUUAGUCCUGAUGAUGGCUGUGAAGAAGCCUAAGAUCCCGGCAAAAAUCUUUCGGUUCUUGGCCCCCUUCCCCUAUAUCCGUUCUUCUUUCUCCUUCGUAGAAAUCAUCCGAUUUCUCUUUCUACUAAACAAGUUUUCUUCCUCUCUCAGUAAAAAAAAACCCUAAGUCCACUCAGUUACAUCCUGCGUUUCACCACCGUGUUUCUCUUUCUUCACUACUUCUGGGUACAAGUACUCUAUAUCACAACAACACGUUUGAAAUUUGAAUUAGUAUCCCCUCAUUUUCAACAAUCUAAUCGUAUCUUCUCAUUUCCAGCAAUUGAUUCGUUCAUACAUACGAGAGACAUGUUAUAUAAACGCAUCUCCUCUCCCAGCCAAUUAAAACCCUAAAAUUCUAAAUUCUUUCAAUCGGUGACCAACUCCCACCUGCAGAAGAUGUAGACGACGACCACCACGCAUAGAUACCGACCGCGGUCACUCAGGCUAACUCUUUUGUUUUGAUUGAUGUCAGGUUAGAUUUUUCUCAUACAUAGAAAAUCAAAGGGGCUACCUAACUUGAAGAAAAUGCAAAGGGAACAAAGAAACGAUGAUUCUAUGUACAGAUUAGAUAGAGGAAGAUUGCUACACCUAUUAUUAUUUCCUUUGUUUUUCUUGUUGGAGAGAGACUCUUAAAAAUCACAUUGUUUUCGAAUCUGGGAUAAAGAUAAAUAGAAGCAUGAGUGAAAGGAGGCGUAGGAAAAAAAUCAGAGGUUGCUAAAGGUUUUUGAAAAGAAUGUGAAGUCAAUCUCUUACUGGCACCUCAAAGCUAUUUUCAUGUUGUUGUUGCAGAUCAGGUGAUUGAUGAAAAGCCUCAAUGGUUUUUGUUAUUUCCCUUUUACAUUUUUCAAUUCAAAUGAGACAAACAUACAUCAAGGGUGCAGUCUUACCAUUUUGGACUCGGGACAUUCCUUUGCCUCUUUGAUCUUUAUCGUUUGUUUACUUUUAAAUAAUCAUGUUGGCAACAUUAAUAGUGUAACCUGAUGUAUCGUUUGCAGUCUCUUUUGAAUUAAUCAUGUUCAGGAUUUAGAUUUCAGUUUGAGGAUCAUGUUGGCAACAUUAAUAGGGUAAAAGGGUCUUUAUAUAUGGAUGGAAUGUUGUGGUGAUUGACUGAACAUCAAAAAUCCAGGGCUGUUUAGACAUGUGGGUGCUUUGAUGAGGGGAGGGGUGACAACUUGGAAUAUGUGUGUGGAUCAUCAGGCAUCAGAUUUAUUUAUUUAUUUAUUAUUUCACAACUUCUGUCGAGGGGUGGUUGUAUUGUUGAUGAUCAGGUCUCAAUUAAAAGGUAAGGUCUCACAUUCAUUUAUGCUAUUAAAUAAUGGAAUUUAACUAAGUCGGGGUUGGAUUUCAUUUAAAUCAUUUUUGCAAAUUCUUGUCUAGCUAUAUGCAUUUUAUUCUCUUCUGUGGAUUCUAUUGGGUUUUAUUUUAUACAGUUGUAUGGAGAAAUUUUUAUACAUGUGAUGGUUUGAUUUUAUAGUACACGGCCUUGUCAUGCUUUCCCUCAAUGGUAUUCUGUUAUGUAGAAUCUAUGGUGUAUUCUUUUGGCGUUUUUUGAUUACUUUGUCUUUCUAGAUGUAAAACUUUGUUUGGCCAUUUUCCUAGCCGGUCUUUUUCUUUUCUUGAUA